GCAAAGUGAUUUCUUAGGAAAUUCCGAGGUUGCGUUUUUUUUGCGCAACCUCGGAAUUUCCUAAGAAAUCACUUUGCAAUU